CACGUAGGGCGCAAGCGUUGUUCGGAAUUACUGGGCGUAAAGGGCUCGUAGGCGGCCAACUAAGUCAUACGUGAAAUCCCUCGGCUUAACCGGGGAACUGCGUCUGAUACUGGAUGGCUUGAGUUCGGGAGAGGGAUGCGGAAUUCCAGGUGUAGCGGUGAAAUGCGUAGAUAUCUGGAGGAACACCGGUGGCGAAGGCGGCAUCCUGGACCGAUACUGACGCUGAGGAGCGAAAGCCAGGGGAGCAAACGGG
rnacentral:rRNA from 1 species